UAUUGUAUUCAGUGUUAACAUUUUGUGAUAGUUUAUGUGUAUGUGUUUUUGUUUAGAAUUUGCUGUUCUAUAGUUUGUUGUUUUACACUAGGCACUUCAAGGUCAUUCUUUCCUUCUUCUGCCAUGCCUCAUGACCAUGGUAAUGACUGUUGCGAAAGGUGGUCAAGUCCUCUAAUUUACAAAAAUUUCCUAAUCCUCUUUGUGGGUUGCUGAUAACACAGAUUAUGAUUGUAGUGCUUAUUUUAAAGUAACAGACCAUAGUGCAAUGCUCAAAAUUGAAUAAUAUAAUAUACCUGAUUUAUAGCAGCUUUUGUGUUAUCAGUGACUAGUUGGACUGAAGGAAAAAUAUUUCUGCAGAAUUUCGAUAAUAUAUAAUUUAUGAACUUCCUGCCCCCUUGAAAUUUGAAGAAAUAUCUGUGUUGCAUCUAAUUAUUAAAGAAAUUAAUAUUCCAAAUAUGGUAUUUUUAUAAAUGGAAUUUGCCAAUGAAUUUAAUUCAAAAGAGGACAAAUUUUGGCUCUGAGAAUUGGCAUAAUGUAAGUCAAAUACUUAGUCCUAUAGUUUCAAAAGUUUGAUUGCAAGCUUAUUGUUAUAUUUGGCACAUUUCUAUAUUUUUUAUUUUUGUAUUUAUUUUCAUAUUUGCAGUUCAAAAAGAAAGUUUGUCAGAUUUUGAAACUAUAUUACUCUAAUUCUUAUUAAAUUUCAUCAAAUCUCAUGGUUAAUUUUCCCUCUUUUGGAUUAAUAUUUUUUAUUUCAUAAUAUAACUGAAAAAUUAUGUUUUUAUUUUGUGAAAAAAAUUAAAUAUUUAAGAUUUUUGUUUCAGUUAUGCUUUAAAAAAGAGUUCUUACAAAUAAUAAUAUCCAUUUUAUGUAUCCACAUUUCUAAUCUGUGUGUACCUGUUGUAAGAUUAGUCUAUGUAUGCCGAGGUUAUAUUCAUAAUAGUGGAAAUAUAUUUAUGGCACUUGGGGUAGAGAAAAAUUAUUAGCAAUGGUUAAUAAAAUGUAUAAGAAGGUAGUUAUGACACAUCUGCAAAUUAUAAAAGUGUGUAUGUUACUAGAUGGAAAGUUUGAAUGUAAGUUUAUUGUUUCUCUUUAAGUGUAAAUAUAUUCAAAAAAUGAUCAUAGAAAUCUAUGAGUAUAUCUUUACUAUAUUAAGAUAGGCAUUUACAGAAUUCAGUUAUGCUAUUUUUUAUUGGUAAAUAAACUCUUAUAUUAAAAGUUGAAAAUAUUAUAUUGCUUAACCAUUUAACUUUUGAAAACUGUGUUAUUUAUAUAUGCAUAUAUAAUUAACUAAAUACUAGAGUCAGAUUGCAAGUUUCUCACUCAAGUCACAAGUCUGGGUAAAUCAAAAUUUCAAAAAGACAUUUUGAUUUACCCAGACUUAUGACUUGAGUUUGAUUUUUCUUAAAAUGUUUUGAAUUAACAAAAAUUUCAUGUUUUAGUUAGUAGCCAACAAAUAAAGCAAUUGAAUACCUAAUAUAAUAUUUUUCCCCCUGUAAAAGAUAUUGUACCCACUAUUUUAUCAACCUCUUCUUUUCUCUUAUUAGUGAGCUAUUGUAAUUAUUCUGUUUAGAAACACAACUGUUCUGUUAUCUUUCUCUAUAAUACUACAAUUUCAGUUCAGUCAUAUGAGUCAUUUAUCAGUUCCUCUUUCAUAUGUUUCAUAUGUUCAGCUUUCAUAAGUAGUGAAAAUGAUACAUUACUUUAAUAAACUAGUUUGUGUGUCCUAAUUAAUGGAUUUUUGUUCACAUUGAAACAAAAAUUGUUUUCUUUCUCAAAUCAUAAGAAGAAAAAUUCUGUUUGUGUUUCAUUACAGAAAAGAGAAUUUUAAUUCUGAACUUGUGUGAAUAAUUAAUUUUUAAUGAUUAAAAUUGUGUUUAUUAUUACGAACUGAUUCACAGAAAGACCGGGUUCGAUAAAAUAUGGCUGGAUCAUCAGAUAUUUCCAUAAUUUGCAUGUUGGCUUUCUGAUAAUAUUUACAACUGAAGCCUGAUAAUUAAGGACAAGCUUGUUGCAUGAUGAAGAAGAUCCAAAACGGUAUCCUCUGAAAAGAUUUCAUUGUUCCUUCUGUUCAUAUUCAUCAUACAAAAGUUCAAAUUGGAAAGCACACAUGAGAGUUCACACUCAAGAACGGCCAUUUGUUUGUAAUUUAUGUAGAAAAGCUUUUAAUCAUAAAGUUUCCUUAAACAGACAUAUGCAUUCUCAUACUGGUAAAAAACCGUACCAGUGUAAAAUUUGCUUACGUCAAUUUUGUACCAAAUCUGAUUGGAAACGCCAUUUUUUAGUUCAUCCGAUGGCCAUCUCAAGUUUAUCAAGCAAAUUUUGAUUUUCCAUUUAUGUUAUACUGUUCCUGUGCGUGCAACAUGGUAUUAUAUCCACUUCAGAUAUAUUUCUUAUUUUUAAUAUCUGUUAUAGACUGAAAUGGCCCAUUUGAUUUUGUUAUAUGAUCUGUAUUUUGCAAUAAGACUUUGAUUUAAUCAAGAAUUCAAUAAAAAAUAUUAAAAGAAGUC